GACGAACGCUGGCGGCGUGCUUAACACAUGCAAGUCGAACGGAAAGGCCCUGCUUUUGUGGGGUGCUCGAGUGGCGAACGGGUGAGUAACACGUGAGUAACCUGCCCUUGACUUUGGGAUAACUUCAGGAAACUGGGGCUAAUACCGGAUAGGAGCUCAUGCUGCAUGGUGGGGGUUGGAAAGUUUCGGCGGUUGGGGAUGGACUCGCGGCUUAUCAGCUUGUUGGUGGGGUAGUGGCUUACCAAGGCUUUGACUGGUAGCCGGCCUGAGAGGGUGACCGGCCACCUUGGGACUGCGAGACGGCCCAGACUCCUACGGUAGGCAGCAGUGGGGAAUAUUGCACAGUGGGCGGAAGCCUGAUGCAGCAACGCCGCGUGCGGGAUGACGGCCUUCGGGGUGUAAACCGCUUUCGCCUGUGACGAAGCGUGAGUGACGGUAAUGGGUAAAGAAGCACCGGCUAACUACGUG
rnacentral:rRNA from 1 species